UACAGAGGCCUCGAGCGUUAAUCGGAAUCACUGGGCUUAAAGGGUGCGUAGGCGGCGCUGCAAGUGCCUUGUGAAAUCCCAUCGCUUAACGAUGGAACUGCUCGGUAGACUGCAGUGCUUGAGGUUGGUAGGGGCUGCCGGAACUCUAGGUGGAGCGGUGAAAUGCGUAGAUAUCGUAAGGAAGACCAGUGGCGAAGGCGGGUCUCUGGACAGUUCCUGACGCUGAGGCACGAAGGUCAGGGGAGCAAACGGG
rnacentral:rRNA from 1 species